rnacentral:SRP_RNA from 1 species
GCCGGGUAUGGUGGCGCACACCUGUAAUCCCAGCUACCCGGGAGGCUGAGGCAGGAGAAUUGAUUGAACCCGGGAGGUGAAGGUUGCAGUGAGCCGAGAUUGCGCCACUGCACUCCAGCCUGGGUGGCAAGAGUGAGACUCCAUCUCUUUUUUUUUUUUUUUUUUGAGACGGAGUCUCUGUCGCCCAGGCUGGAGUGCAGUGGCCUGAUCUCAGCUCACUGCAAGCUCCGCCUCCCGGGUUUACACCAUUCUCCUGCCUC